AGCCAGCCAGCCAGCUGAGGGAGGGUAUGUGGGACUCACCGGCCGAGAGGCGACCGGAACACCCACUAAACCCCAGCGGCGCCCUUGCGCGUCGCCUGGUGACUGGGUCACGGGGCGAACGCCGACGCUGACCACC